AAGCGAUACUGAAGAUGAGAGAUUCGAAUCAAGAACUUAAGUGCAAAAAUAAUUGUUCUUACAAACCUCUUAUUAUUUUUAUUUUUUUGUUGAAUUGUAUUAUUUUAUAUUUUAUUGGUCUAGUAAGAUUGGUGUCAUGCUAUGCUAUGUUAGCGGAUCUGUGGAUGUUAUUGUUGAGUUGAAUUCAAAAUCCAAAAAAAAUUAUUAUAACAAACAAAAUCAUAAUGCAAGUUGCAACCAUAUUUAAUUAAUAUAUAUGUACCUUUGCUUCAGAUUUCAACCAAGUUGCUGAUUUUUGUGUAUAAAAUAAUUGAUUUUCUAAAGAUCUGAGUUUGAAUUUGAUCAUUGGUGGUGUGUAUAGGAUCGAUAAAUUCUAAAACUGAUCAAGAACUCAAAAACCAAGUUCCUGGUCAUCAUAAAAGACUUUCCAAGAUUAGAAAGCUAAAUAGAUUCUCAGCUGCUUUUUUAUAAAUAAAUAAAAAAAAAGAAAAACCAUGGCUGGCACACACCAAACCCUAAGUAAACCGGGAAGAAUCUGCGUUGUGUGGAAAAAUAAUUAAGAUUUGAGAGAUUCACUAUUAUACCUAAUAUGAGAGCCUAAAUUAUAAAAAUACCUCAUAUGAAAUGGACUUUAAAAAUACACCCAAAGUCCAUUUACAACAUAACAAAGAGGCUUCUAAAUUCUUAUAAAUUACAAAACUGUCAUCGAUUUCUUAAAACAAGUUCAAC
rnacentral:lncRNA from 1 species